GACGAACGCUGGCGGCGUGCUUAACACAUGCAAGUCGAACGGAAAGGCCCUGCUUUUGUGGGGUGCUCGAGUGGCGAACGGGUGAGUAACACGUGAGUAACCUGCCCUUGACUUUGGGAUAACUUCAGGAAACUGGGGCUAAUACCGGAUAGGAGCUCCUGCUGCAUGGUGGGGGUUGGAAAGUUUCGGCGGUUGGGGAUGGACUCGCGGCUUAUCCGCUUGUUGGUGGGGUAGUGGCUUACCAAGGCUUUGACGGGUAGCCGGCCUGAGAGGGUGACCGGCCACAUUGGGACUAAGAGACGGCCCAGAAUCCUACGGGAGGCAGCAGUGGGGAAUUUUGCACAAUGGGCGGAAGCCUGAUGCAGCAACGCCGCGUGCGGGAUGACGGCCUUCGGGUUGUAAACCGCUUUCGCCUGUGACGAGGCGUGAGUGACGGUAAUGGGUAAAGAAGCACCGGCUAACUACGUG
rnacentral:rRNA from 1 species